UACGGGGGGGGCAAGCGUUGUUCGGAAUUACUGGGCGUAAAGGGCGCGUAGGCGGGUGGGCAAGGCUCUCGUGAAAGCCCACGGCUCAACCGGGGAAUUGCGGGAGAUACUGUCUGUCUUGAGUCCGGGAGAGGAGGGUGGAAUUCCCUGUGUAGCGGUGAAAUGCGUAGAUAUUGGGAGGCACACCGGUGGCGAAGGCGGCUCUCCGGGCCGGUACUGACGCUGAGGCGCGAAAGCUAGGGGAGCAAACGGG
rnacentral:rRNA from 1 species